GACGAACGCUGGCGGCGUGCUUAAUACAUGCAAGUCGAACGGAAAGACCCUGCGCUUGCUGCUUUCUCGAGUGGCGCACGGGGGAGUAACACGUGAGUAUCCUGCCCUUGACUUUCUGAUAUCUCCUGGGAACAGGGGCGAAUAUCGCAUAUGAUAUCCUGCUGCAUGGGGGUGGUUGGAGAGUUUCGGUUGUUGGGUAAGGACUCGCGGCUUCUCAGCUUGUUUGUGGGGUAGUGGCUUACCAAGGCUUUGACGGGUAGCCGGCCUGAGCGGGUGACCGGCCACAUUGGGACUGAGAUACGGCCCAGACUCCUACGGGAGGCAGCAGUGGGGAAUAUUGCACAAUGGGCGGAAGCCUGAUGCAGCAACGCCGCGUGCGGGAUGACGGCCUUCGGGUUGUAAACCGCUUUCGCCUGUGACGAAGCGUGAGUGACGGUAAUGGGUAAAGAAGCACCGGCUAACUACGUG
rnacentral:rRNA from 1 species